CGGCACGCCUAAUACAUGCAAGUCGAACGAAGUAGCAAUACUUAGUGGCAGACGGGUGAGUAAUAUGUAGGUAUCUUCCCAUUGGUGAGGAAUAACACGAGGAAACUUGUGCUAAUACCUCAUAAGUCUUUACGGAGAAAGCUUUAUGCGCCGAUGGAUGAGCCUGCACUUGAUUAGUUUGUUGGUAGGGUAAUGGCCUACCAAGACAAUGAUCAAUAGCUGAUUUGAGAGGAUGAUCAGCCACAUUGGGACUGAGACACGGCCCAAACUCCUACGGGAGGCAGCAGUAGGGAAUCUUGCACAAUGGGGGAAACCCUGAUGCAGCGAUGCCGCGUGAGUGAAGAAGGCCUUUGGGUUGUAAAGCUCUUUCGUCGGGGAAGAAAAUGACUGUACCCGAAUAAGAAGGUCCGGCUAACUUCGUGCCAGCAGCCGCGGUAAUACGAAGGGACCUAGCGUAGUUCGGAAUUACUGGGCUUAAAGAGUUCGUAGGUGGUUAAAAAAGUUGGUGGUGAAAUCCCAGAGCUUAACUCUGGAACUGCCAUCAAAACUUUUUAGCUAGAGUAUGAUAGAGGAAAGCAGAAUUUCUAGUGUAGAGGUGAAAUUCGUAGAUAUUAGAAAGAAUACCGAUUGCGAAGGCAGCUUUCUGGAUCAUUACUGACACUGAGGAACGAAAGC
rnacentral:rRNA from 1 species